rnacentral:rRNA from 1 species
UACGGAGGGAGCUAGCGUUGUUCGGAAUUACUGGGCGUAAAGCGCGCGUAGGCGGCUUUGUAAGUUAGAGGUGAAAGCCCGGGGCUCAACCCCGGAACUGCCUUUAAGACUGCAUCGCUUGAAUCCGGGAGAGGUGAGUGGAAUUCCGAGUGUAGAGGUGAAAUUCGUAGAUAUGCGGAGGAACACCGAUGGCGAAGGCAAUCCCCUGGGCCUGUACUGACGCUCAUGCACGAAAGCGUGGGGAGCAAACAGG